UCCCAGUCAAAAAGUCCAGGAUCCAGUUGCACGGAUGGCUCAGAGAAAGGUGGAGGUGGAUGGUAGCAGAUUGUGCAUCCUCUGCUGAACGGUUGGGACGGGAUGAUGGUGGUUGUUCUGAAGCAGACGGGGACAACUGCCCGGCUCAUGGAAAUGUUGAAGUUGUCCAUGAAGACAUCUGCAAGCUGAACAGCACAUUCCCUGAGCACCCGGCCAGACUGAACUUUGGCUCUUGUCAAGUUAUCCGACAGAAAUAUGGCAUGUCUGUGCUGCGGCGGAACAAUUUUGAGAGUUUUGUUUCCUCGUUGUGAAUGUCCAUCUGGAAACCUUCUCCGCAGGAGGGACCCUGACAACUUGAGCAGUGAAGGACUCUGUGAGCAGAUUUGCGCCGUGCCAUGCCAUGCAGCGUGUGCAGGUCUUCUGUGCCACUCACGAAGCGGGCGGCUCGGCCAAAGCUAAUUCAUCACAGCGCGUGGGUCCAAAAGCAGCGCAAACUAGUUGAGCAAGACGAGAGCCGAAAGGCUCUUUUUUUUUGUUGUCGUAAGGGGAUCCGAGUCCGAAGCACUUCUUCAGGAUGGAAAAGUCCCACUCGGUGUUCCAUGCAGAUUUUUUUUUACAUUUUAAAGCAAUGUUUCAGGCUGUAUGAAUGCUGAUUGUAUGCGGCGCUGUCAAUAAAGUUUGCGAACCCUAUAGGAAUGCUCGUUAUUCUUGUUUAAAAUAUUAUUUGUAUUAUAUUUAUUAUACUU